rnacentral:precursor_RNA from 7 species
UCUAUAUUGAAGCUGUGGUGUGCAGUGCUCUUCUUGGACUGGCACUGGUGAGUUAAACUAAAUACAACCAGUACCUUUCUGAGAAGAGUAAAGCUCAUCACAUUCUUUUGAUGAGGC